rnacentral:rRNA from 1 species
UACGUAGGGGGCAAGCGUUGUCCGGAUUUAUUGGGCGUAAAGAGCGUGUAGGCGGCUUUACAGGUCCGUUGUGAAAACUCGAGGCUCAACCUCGAGACGCCGGUGGAAACCGUAAAGCUAGAGUCCGGAAGAGGAGAGUGGAAUUCCUGGUGUAGCGGUGAAAUGCGCAGAUAUCAGGAAGAACACCAAUGGCGAAGGCAGCUCGCUGGGACGGUACUGACACUGAGGCGCGAAAGCGUGGGGAGCGAACAGG